UCCACCCAAAACACAACCAAAAAAGAAAAAAGUUGUCGUGGAGGAUUCACCUCCUAAAGAAGACCAAUACUUUGACGGUGAGACAUAUGAAAUAUCAAGUGACGAACUGGAUGAAUGGCUAGGGCAAAACGUUGAUAAA